UUCCCAGACAGAGGUAUUUAAUCAGUGCAUGCGACAGUAUUGGUGUAUUUGGCUAUAUCGACAUCUAUGGAUAGGAUAAUUAUGUCUGUCAAACAGCUUCUAUUUUGCAUCAUUCCAGGAAUCCCUCAAGAAGAAAUCACAGCACCCCCACCCCCAAACAUCUUCCCAUGGCUAUGCCACUAUGCACCUCCAUAAGCUGUCCAAACAAGAGAGGCAGAGCGAGAGAGGCAAGGCGAGCAGGGAUAUGAAGUGCCAUCAUCAGUCCAGGAGAAUGUGAACAACACGAUAACAGACGGGCAUCAGAGGGGAAGCAACAAGAUGACAAGAAUUCAAGUGACAUGGCACAUGAUGUCUGAUGUGGCCUGAUUGUUUCAGUCAGGCUAGAGCCUGGGACAGUCCAGUGACUGACACAGUGCAUUCUUAGAAAAAAAGGUGUUUUCUAGAACCAAAGGGUUCUUUGGCUGUCCCCAUAGCAGAACCCUUUGAAGAAUCCC
ensembl:lncRNA